GGUACGGUUGCAGUUAUCGAGCAGAGCGCGAACGAUCUGGAUUUGGUGAAGUCAAGUGGGAAGCGUGUAAUCGUGGUGUGUGUGUAUGUUUCAUUGCACGUGUGUGAAAUUUGGAGAAAAUCUCUGCACGGGCUCAAAGUGAAGGCUCUUUCUGGUGCAAUCCGGUACCCGUCACUGCCAACACAAUUGUUCAGGAGCUUUAGUUUAAGAACCAGUUACAUCGUGCGCCCACUCGUCUAGUGUCCCACAGAAUUUUGCAGCAUCGAGGCAUCGCAGGCAGAAUCUACGAUACACCGCUACGCACGCACGCACGCUCUAGCUAACAGGACAGGAGAGAUGGAGUCACAAUCGGGGCAGAAGAAAUUAGCAAGUCAGCGCUUGCGGGUGGUGUGCUACAUCCAGCGGCUGCGCUGCAUGAUUGGCGCGGUGCAGUCCGGUACGCUGGGCAAAACGUUAACCGCCCGCACCGGGGCGCUGCGCGACCAGGCCUUCAAGGUAGCCACCACUGCCGAGCUGGACGACCUACAAGACCACAUCUUCCAGCUGCAGCAGGAGGUGCUGACAAUAAUAUCGAACCAGUACGAGACCGACCAGCCGAUGCUGUGGGAGCAGCAGAAGUGAGCGAGAACGCAGGGGUGUUGCCUGCCCCCUGACCGUUCACGCCAUAACCUCAAGCAGACUUUGUUUUUUCUUAUGUUUAAGACGUAUUUUCGUUCAUUAUUACUAAUCAACUUUCGAGUGCCUUGAUCUUGGACUGAGUAUGACGCUACUUGCAGCAUAGGAGGAUAUAAGAAGAAGAACAUUCGCAGUGCAACUUCCAAAGGAGAAUUUUUUGCAUCUGCAAUCAUACAGCAGGAAUUCAAAACAUCGAUUUGACAAGGAUUUGGUAACCGAAUAGAAACAUUGUGAAAACAUAAACUAAAUAAUAUAUAAUGCUAUAAGCAUUUCAGUUAUGAAAGUUGAGACCCGUGUUUUUUUUUGAGAAUGUUACGAUAACAUAUGUUUGCCAAAUUGUAAGGACCAGAAUAACCAACUCCAAGGAACAUUUUAGGAUGCAUUUGCAAAGCAAAAUUAAAUCUAAAUGACACCAGCUUAACAUUAAUUCAGCUUUGAGGGUAAAUAUACGCUAUGCGCAGAAUUAGGAAAGAAGAAGGAAAGGUUAUAUAUCAUUAUUUUAAGAAUGUGACAAUCACUAGUAUUCCUAUAUUGCUUAAGAAAGAAGGAUUUGUUAAGAGAAGGAAGCACAAUUUUAUUUGUUGUAUCAACAUCAACAUGACGUCGGUGUAACACAAUGAAGUAAAGAAUUUUGAAAAUACUAUUUACAAAAGUUAUUAAAUAUACCAGUUAUUAAACAAAUAUUAUUGCAUGGAAGCAGCUACACGUAUUUUGCAAUCCAAAAUAACGACACAAGUCUUCCCAAAGAAUACGAAUUAUCCCACGAGAAACAAUUCGAUUUGUUUCUAAUAAUAAACGAGAAAAAAAACACUGCAGAAACGUUUUUGGGCACAUUUACGGAAACGGAACUGAACUUAACGUGAUCUUUAAAUGCACAUUUUGAAAUAAAUAGCAAAAAACGAGUACAGAAAAAGACAAGAAAAAUGUAAAAAUAAAUUUAUAAAUUUAUAAUUGUGCACGAAAAAAAAAGAUCUAAAACCAAAUACGUUCCUAUAUGAACUAAAAAAUGGAUAGAAAGAGAUUAACAUUUAUGUUUUAGAUCAAUAUACAUUGCAACAGUGCAACAUGACAAUGACACGGCAAAAUUAUCGGCACAACCAAUGACACUAUUUCCAAAGGCAUGAAAGGUAGACUGAUUAAAAAAAUAUUCACAGUUUAUUGCCACUGCUGCUUUUUGAAAUCCAAAGAAAACUAUCAAACCUUCAGAUACGCAAAAACGACAACGAGUUUUCAAAUAUAUAUGUUUUUUUUCGCUAAAGUUUUCUUUUCCUUUUAACGCAACACAGAAACAAA